GUGUUGGCUUCUGCAGCACACGUACAAAACCUGGAAGGAUAUGGGGAGAACUGGCAUGGCCAGGAAGAAGGAUGGCAUGCAAAUUCAUGAAGUGUUCAAUAUUAAA
rnacentral:snRNA from 14 species